rnacentral:rRNA from 1 species
UUCGUAGGCGGUGCGGCAAGUCGGGAGUGAAAUCCCUGGGCUUAACCCAGGGGCUGCUUCCGAAACUGCCGUGCUGGAGUGUGGGAGAGGCGCGUGGAAUUGCAGGUGUAGCGGUGAAAUGCGUAGAUAUCUGCAGGAACACCCGUGGCGAAAGCGGCGCGCUGGACCACAACUGACGCUGAGGAACGAAAGCUAGGGGAGCAAACAGGAUUAGAUACCCUGGUAGUCCUAGCCCUAAACGAUCAGGACUUGGGGUGGCUUCCGUUCGGAAGUCGUCCCGGAGCUAACGCGUUAAGUCCUGCACCUGGGGAGUACGGUCGCAAGACUGAA